UACAGAGGUGGCAAGCGUUGUUCGGAAUUACUGGGCGUAAAGGGCGCGUAGGCGGCCUUCUAAGUCAGACGUGAAAUCCCCCGGCUUAACCUGGGAACUGCGUCUGAUACUGGGAGGCUUGAGUAUGGGAGAGGGAUGUAGAAUUCCAGGUGUAGCGGUGAAAUGCGUAGAUAUCAGGAGGAACACCUAUUGCGAAGGCAGCUCGCUGGGACGUAACUGACGCUGAGACGCGAAAGCGUGGGGAGCAAACAGG
rnacentral:rRNA from 1 species